UUGUUGAGAUCUUGUGACUCUUAUCCGCAGGUGAUGUAUCGAUGGCCUUUCACAAGGUUGGCGGAUUAGCCGGAUAGGUAGAGAGAGAAGUAGAGAAAGCUAAAAGGAACUCUCAGAAGAUCCGCCUUCGAUUGCGAAGAAAAUAAAAACUUUAAUCUCCUUUUCUUUCACCCCCUUCACUCUCUCUCUUCUCCCAUUUCUGUGGCUCUAACAAGCGGAGCACUCUGGUUCUUCUCUAUCUAACCAGGUGAUCAUAGGGUUUUGAAGCUACUUUCAGAGAAGAGUGAUGGAAAAUGGGGUUGCUACCGAUGGUGAACCUCAUUUUGGAGAAACCGUGGCAGCCGAAGACGGGACUCUUAAUAUUAAAGUGGAAGAUAGGGUUGUUCAUGGGCAUCAUGAAUCGAAGGAUUCUGAAGGGGAAGUUUUUGUGGAGGCUCCAGAAGAAAUCCAUUCGCUGGAGUCACCUUUAAAUCUUGAUGCGGAGCAAGUUGUUAAUGGGGAGGUACAUGUAAUUGAGACUGGAGAUUCUGGUUCUUUGGGAGGGAAUGUAAUCCCCAACGGGAACCAUGAGACGGAAAAUUUUGAAGAGUCUAUUGGGCUUCCACGCAAUGAAUGUAAUGACACUGUUGAUGAGGUUGGAGUCGCAGAUGGAUAUGCCAAAGUGGAAGGUAGUGCCGAGGAAAGUUUGCCUGAGGUAUCAGAUGAGUUGGACAGUUUCGGUUUGGUUGGUAAUGAAGAAAAUGUUGUCAAUAUGGGCAAUGAUCAGUCUCAGGAGGGGGAACAGCAGCUCGCUGUUGAGAAAAUGACCACAGGUUUGGUUUUGGCAGAGCCUGUUGAUGAGAUUAGCUCUGCAGACGAAACUGGCAGUGUGGUAUGUGAUGACAAGGAAGUUUUGCCGGUGGAAUCAAAUAGGUUUGAUGAGAUUAGGCCGGCAGACGAAAGUGGCAGUGUGGUAUGUGAUGACAAGGAAGUUUUGCCUGUGGAAUCAAAUAGGUUUGAUGGUGGCGUUUCAGUUGGUGUUUCAGAAGCUGAGUUGAGGGAGGUUUCAGAUACUCUGGCUGAUAGAGAUACAGAACCUUCUAGGGAUGGGACUGAGGCAGAAAAGAGGAGUGAUCUAAUUACUGAGACACCUGAAAAUGGGGAUUUUGCUGACAUGAGUUUGGAGGAAUCACAUGUUCUUCAUGAAAAAGCAGAUGCUGUGCAAGUCGGACAGUUGGAGUCUGAUGUGGUUGGGCCUUCUCAUGGAGAUGAACCUGAUGAAUUGAUUGUGCAUGAAGACAGUGAAAGUGGUGAGUUAGGGGAACCUUCUGCAAACUUGGCUGGGGAAGGCGAGCAUCACCAGAGAGUGCAAUUGAAGAACUCUUCAACUGAACAAGAUCCUUCUCUCAAGGAGACUGGAGCUCGAGAAGUUGAAAUCCCACUCUCUGUGAAAGAAUCUGAUACUGUUAAAGCUGAUGCAGCUGAACCAGAGGAAAAAGAUAUACAAGAUUCUCAGCCUCAGUUUGUUGACAGAAAUAUCAAAGAAGGUUCAUCUGGCCUUACUGUGGUGGAGGAGCCUGCUUUUCAGGAAACCAAAAAGGUUGAGAACAGAGGACCAGAAAUUGAGUCUGCACGAAAUGUUGGUUCAUCUGCUGGAAGUUCCACAAAUCCUCCUCUUCCAACUCGUCCUGCUGGCCUUGGAAGUGCUCCACUGUUGGGAGCUACUCAUCGUGCACUGCAACAGUCUCGAGCAAAUGGAUCUAUACCUGUGCGUCCAUCUCAACUUGUUGAAGACCCUAUGAAUGGUGAGGCUGAGGAGAACGAUGAAACUCGUGAAAAACUCCAGAUGAUCCGGGUGAAGUUCCUGCGUCUUGCUCAUCGACUUGGUCAGACUCCCCACAAUGUUGUUGUUGCUCAGGUCCUAUACAGGCUAGGGUUAGCUGAACAGCUGCGAGGGAGAAACACAACUCGUGCUGGUGCCUUCAGCUUUGACACAGCUAGUGCAAUGGCUGAGCAGCUUGAGGCAGCUGGGCAGGAAGCCCUUGAUUUUUCGUGCACAAUCAUGGUUAUUGGAAAGACAGGAGUUGGUAAAAGUGCAACCAUCAAUUCAAUAUUUGAUGAAGUCAUGUUCAGCACUGAUGCAUUUGACAUGGGUACUAAGAAGGUUCAGGAUGUGGUUGGAAUGGUUCAGGGGAUCAAGGUACGGGUGAUUGAUACACCCGGCCUUCUACCUUCCUGGUCAGAUCAACGUCAAAAUGAGAAGACCUUGCAUUCUGUUAAACGUUUCAUCAAGAAGACACCUCCAGAUAUUAUUUUGUAUCUUGAUAGAUUGGACAUGCAAAGCAGGGAUUUUGGUGAUAUGCCACUUUUGCGAACAAUUACAGAGAUAUUCGGACCAUCUAUUUGGUUCAAUGCAAUUGUAGUUUUGACCCAUGCAGCUUCUGCACCUCCUGAUGGUCCGAAUGGUACUGCUUCAAGUUAUGAGAUGUUUGUAACUCAGCGUACCCAUGUGGUUCAGCAAGCAAUUCGUCAAGCGGCGGGGGACAUGCGACUCAUGAACCCUGUUUCAUUAGUGGAGAAUCACUCUGAAUGCAGAACAAACAGGGCUGGGCAGAGAGUCUUGCCAAAUGGCCAAGUCUGGAAACCACAUUUGUUAUUGCUCUCCUUUGCAUCAAAGAUUCUGGCCGAGGCAAACACACUUCUAAAUUUGCAAGAUAACCCACCAGGAAGGCCUUUCGCAACUCGAUCUAGGGUACCACCUUUACCAUUCCUCUUGUCAUCCCUUCUCCAAUCGAGGCCCCAGUUGAAACUGCCUGAGGAGCAAUUUGGCGAUGAUGAGGAUGGUCUUGAUGAGGACUUGGACGAGGCAUCAGAUUCUGAUGAAGAGACAGAUUAUGAUGAAUUGCCACCAUUCAAGCAUUUGACAAAGGCUCAACUGGCCAAGUUGAGUAGAGCACAGAAGAAGGCCUAUUUUGAUGAGCUAGAAUAUAGAGAGAAGCUUUUUAUGAAGAAACAGCUGAAGGAGGAGAGAAAGCGGCGUAAAUUAUUAAAGAAAAUGGCAGCUUCUGCUAAGGAUUUGCCAAAUGAGUACAAUGAGAGUGCUGAAGAAGAAAGUGGAGGAGCUGCAUCUGUGCCAGUUCCGAUGCCUGAUUUGGCCUUGCCAACUUCAUUUGAUUCAGACAAUCCCACUCACAGAUACCGCUUUCUGGAUUCCUCUAACCAGUGGUUUGUGAGGCCAGUUCUAGAAACUCAUGGUUGGGAUCAUGAUGUUGGCUACGAGGGUAUAAAUGUAGAAAGAUUAUUUGUGGUUAAAGACAAAAUACCCUUGUCCUUUUCUGGUCAGGUUACGAAGGAUAAGAAAGAAGCUAACGUCCAGAUGGAAUUAGCUGGUUCUGUCAAGCAUGGGGAAGGGAAAGCAACUUCAUUAGGUUUUGACAUGCAGACUGUUGGAAAAGACAUGGCAUAUACUUUACGCAGUGAGACAAGAUUUAGCAACUUCAGACACAACAAGACAGCAGCUGGUCUCUCAGUUACUCUCCUGGGUGAUGCCUUAUCAGCGGGAGUGAAGGUUGAAGACAAAUUGAUUGUUAAUAAACGGUUCCGGUUGGUUAUGACUGGGGGUGCAAUGACUGGUCGUGGUGAUGUGGCUUAUGGAGGCAGUCUGGAGGCAACCUUGAGAGAUAAGGAUUAUCCUCUGGGUCGUUUAUUGACGACUCUUGGACUUUCUAUUAUGGAUUGGCAUGGAGAUCUUGCAAUUGGAUGCAAUGUACAGUCUCAAAUACCACUAGGACGUGCGGCAAACCUUAUUGCUCGGGCAAAUUUGAAUAACAGGGGUUCUGGGCAAGUUAGUAUUCGUUUGAAUAGUUCAGAACACUUUCAGAUUGCUUUGAUCGGUCUUAUACCCCUCUUCAGAAAGCUAGUUGGUUAUUCUCAACAACUGCAGUUUGGUCAAUGAGCAGCAUUGUGGUAUAUGGUCAGCAGCUGUGCGGUAAUUAGGAAAUAACCCUCAAACGGUCUAUGGUCACUAAAUGAAAUGCGUAGGAGACCGAGACUGAGGCUGAUGCUGGGGCCAUCGAGCAGGGAGUGUGCUAUGAGGCCCGAGCAAUAUCAAUGGGAAUAUCAACGAUGGAAAAUAUGGACCAAACUCAUAGCCAGAGGAAACACGUUGGAGGCAGUCACAAGGUGGCCGUGGGAUCUAUUUGUCAUCAUACAUGCAUCAAACUACUAUUUCAGUAUUUUAAGGUCUGUAAUCUUCCAUCAUUCUUGCUGCUAAAGCAAGAAAAGAAAAACUUUCAUGCAAAAUGGAGACAUGAUAUUUGUAAUUCCCUUAUUUCCGGUUUAAGUAGUUGAGUCGCUAUUUUUUCA